rnacentral:rRNA from 1 species
GAAUAUUGGACAAUGGGCGAAAGCCUGAUCCAGCCAUGCCGCGUGUGUGAAGAAGGUCUUCGGAUUGUAAAGCACUUUAGGUUGGGAGGAAGGGCAGUAAGCGAAUACCUUGCUGUUUUGAUGUUACGGACAGCGUAAGCACCGGCUAAGUGUGUGCAGAGCGCCGCGGUAAUACAGGGGGUGCAAGCGGUCAUCGGAAGUACGGGGCGUAAAGCGCGCGUAGGUGGUUCGUUAAGUUGGAUGUGAAAUCCCCGGGCUCAACCUGGGAACUGCAUCCAAAACUGGCGAGCUAGAGUAGGGCAGAGGGUGGUGGAAUUUCCUGUGUAGCGGUGAAAUGCGUAGAUAUAGGAAGGAACAACAGUGGCGAAGGCGACCACCUGGGCUCAUACUGACACUGAGGUGCGAAAGCGUGGGGAGCAAACAGG